UACGGAAGGGGCAAGCGUUGUUCGGAAUUAUUGGGCGUAAAGAGCUCGUAGGCGGUCUGUCGCGUCUGCUGUGAAAACUCGGGGCUUAACCCCGGGCCUGCAGUGGGUACGGGCAGACUAGAGUGCGGUAGGGGAGACUGGAAUUCCUGGUGUAGCGGUGAAAUGCGCAGAUAUCAGGAGGAACACCGAUGGCGAAGGCAGGUCUCUGGGCCACUACUGACGCUGAGAAGCGAAAGCAUGGGGAGCGAACAGG
rnacentral:rRNA from 1 species